AUGAAAAAAAUAAUCCAAUCGAAGCCUCAUGCUAGCAGAAGCUAUUUAUUGUAUCUAGUCGCUGUAGAAGCUAGUGUUCUUCUUGCCGUCCUUAUUGGUCUUCAUGCUCCUCUGCCUGCGCCGGUCGGCCUCUUCCACCCGCCGGACGGCGCGCUCCAGCAUGUCCACCCGCUCCGCCAGGGAGCCGAUCAGAGUGCACUGCUGCGCGCUCCGCUCGCACAGUGCCGCCACCAUCUCCAUCAGUUUCUUCGCAUCCAGCCCGUCGGUGGUCACUGUUUUCUUCUCCUCCUGUGCCUGUUCUUGCUGCUGCUGCGCUUUGGGUGGUGUAGGUUCCUUCUCGCCAGUGGAGACGUCGCCGUCUCCCGUCGCCACCAUCUCCCACUCCCCCUCCGCCUCCGAGGCCUUCUCCCCUUCCGCCACCAGUUCGAUCUCGGCCUCGUCGACGACGAGGACGACGGGGCUCGCCACGUCAACCUCCAUUGCCGCCGUGUCAGUUGUCUCGGCAACCAGAGGAUCAGCCGCAGUGUUGUCCUCAACCGGCAGCUCCAACUCCGGUUCCAUCCCAUCCUCCGCUUCUUCCUCUGCAUUAUGAACUUCCGGCGCAUCGGCGGUCACCACCGCGGGCGCGGCCUCGAGAGCGUCAACUGCGUCCUGGAGCGUGAGCACGCGCCUGGUGACCCUCCUGCGGUACUCCCGGGCACCGCGCACGCCGUCGAGACGGAGCAGCAGCCGCAUGAGCUCCUCCCCGAGGCCGAUCCGCGCACGGGCGUCCUCGCGGAGCGCCUCCGCCUCGGCCGCCACCCUCGCGGCCACGGCCUCGGCCUGGCGCUCCACCGCACGCACCUCCCGCACCAUGCGACGAGCGAGCAGCCCGCGCGCCGCCGCCUGCACCCUCGCCGCGGCCUCCUCCGCUGA
rnacentral:rRNA from 1 species